rnacentral:rRNA from 1 species
AAAAUCCGGGAAUCUUUAUGCCGAGCACCGAGACGAGUCCUAUGAGGACGAAGUGACUGACACCACGCUUCCAGCAAAAGCCACUAAGCUUCAGCUGUAGAAAAACCGUACCGUAAACCGACACUGGUAGGCAGGGUGAGAAUCCCAAGGCGCUUGAGAGAACUCGGGUGAAGGAACUAGGCAAAAUGGCACCGUAACUUCGGGAGAAGGUGCGCCCUUUGGUGUGGUCACGUGCGUGACUGAGCAUCGAAGGGUCGCAGUAACCUGGCCGCUGCGACUGUUUAUCAAAAACACAGCACUCUGCAAACACGAAAGUGGACGUAUAGGGUGUGACGCCUGCCCGGUGCUGGAAGGUUAAUUGAUGGGGUCAGCCGCAAGGCGAAGCUCUUGAUCGAAGCCCCAGUAAACGGCGGCCGUAACAAUAACGGUCCUAAGGUAGCGAAAUUCCUUGUCGGGUAAGUUCCGACCUGCACGAAUGGCGUAACGACAGCGGCGCUGUCUCCACCCGAGACUCAGUGAAAUUGAAAUCGCUGUGAAGAUGCAGCGUUCCCGCGGCAAGACGGAAAGACCCCGUGAACCUUUACUAUAGCUUUACAUUGAACGUUGAGUUCUUCUGUGUAGGAUAGGUGGGAGGCUAUGAAACCGAGACGCUAGUUUCGGUGGAGCCAUCCUUGAAAUACCACCCUGAAGUGCUUGACGUUCUAACCUAGGUCCGUAAUCCGGAUCGGGGACCAUGUAUGGUGGGUAGUUUGACUGGGGCGGUCUCCUCCCAAAGAGUAACGGAGGAGCACGAAGGUACGCUCAGCGCGGUCGGACAUCGCGCACUGUGUGCAAAGGCAUAAGCGUGCUUGACUGCGAGAUCGACGGAUCAAGCAGGUACGAAAGUAGGUCUUAGUGAUCCGGUGGUUCUGUAUGGAAGGGCCAUCGCUCAACGGAUAAAAGGUACUCCGGGGAUAACAGGCUGAUACCGCCCAAGAGUUCAUAUCGACGGCGGUGUUUGGCACCUCGAUGUCGGCUCAUCACAUCCUGGGGCUGUAGCCGGUCCCAAGGGUAUGGCUGUUCGCCAUUUAAAGUGGUACGCGAGCUGGGUUCAGAACGUCGUGAGACAGUUCGGUCCCUAUCUGUCGUGGGCGUUGGAGAUUUGAGGGGGGCUGCUCCUAGUACGAGAGGACCGGAGUGGACGUUCCGCUGGUGUUCGGGUUGUCAUGCCCAUGGCAUUGCCCGGUAGCUACGAACGGAAGUGAUAACCGCUGAAAGCAUCUAAGCGGGAAGCACGCCCCAAGAUGAGAUCUCCCGAGAGCUAGACUCUCCUUAAGGCACCAUCAAGACUAGGUGGUUGAUAGGCACGGUGUGGAGGUGCAGCAAUGCAUUGAGCUUACGUGUAACAAUGAGCCGUGAGGCUUGACCG